rnacentral:rRNA from 1 species
UACGGCGAGUGAGCGGCAACAGCUCAAAUUUGAAAUCUGGCCUUCGGGUCCGAGUUGUAAUUUGUAGAGGAUGCUUUUGGWGCGGUGCCUUCCGAGUUCCCUGGAACGGGACGCCAUAGAGGGUGAGAGCCCCGUCUGGUUGGACACUAAUCCUCUGUAAAGCUCCUUCGACGAGUCGAGUAGUUUGGGAAUGCUGCUCUAAAUGGGAGGUAUAUGUCUUCUAAAGCUAAAUAUUGGCCAGAGACCGAUAGCGCACAAGUAGAGUGAUCGAAAGAUGAAAAGCACUUUGAAAAGAGGGUUAAACAGUACGUGAAAUUGUUGAAAGGGAAGCGUUUAUGACCAGACUUGGGCCCGGUUAAUCAUCCAGCGUUCUCGCUGGUGCACUUGGCCGGCCCAGGCCAGCAUCAGUUCGGCGUGGGGGAUAAAGGCUCGGGGAAUGUGGCUCCUCCGGGAGUGUUAUAGCCCCUUGCGUAAUACCCUGUACCGGACUGAGGUUCGCGCAUUUGCAAGGAUGCUGGCGUAAUGGUCAUCAGCGACCCGUCUUGAAACACGGGACCAAGGAGUCGUCUUCGUAUGCGAGUGUUCGGGUGUCAAACCCCUACGCGUAAUGAAAGUGAACGCAGGUGAGAGCUUCGGCGCAUCAUCGACCGAUCCUGAUGUUCUCGGAUGGAUUUGAGUAA